rnacentral:rRNA from 1 species
CAGUAGCCGCGGUAAUACGGAGGGGGCUAGCGUUGUUCGGAAUUACUGGGCGUAAAGCGCACGUAGGCGGAUCAGAAAGUCAGAGGUGAAAUCCCAGGGCUCAACCUUGGAACUGCCUUUGAAACUCCUGGUCUUGAGGUCGAGAGAGGUGAGUGGAAUUCCGAGUGUAGAGGUGAAAUUCGUAGAUAUUCGGAGGAACACCAGUGGCGAAGGCGGCUCACUGGCUCGAUACUGACGCUGAGGUGCGAAAGCGUGGGGAGCAAACAGGAUUAGAUACCCCAGUAGUCCCUGUCUCUUAUAC